rnacentral:rRNA from 1 species
CUCCUGGAAUGGAUCUUCGUUGAAAGGGUGUCUAGGGCAUGCUUCUAGGCGCUGCUCAAGGAUGGAGCCGCGGCCGAUCAGGUUGUUGGUGAGGUAACGGCUUACCAAGCCUUUAACCGGUACGGGCCGUGGGAGCGGUAGCCCGGAGAUGGGCACUGAGAUAAGGGCCCAGGCCCUACGGGGCGCAGCAGUCGCGCAAACUCCGCAAUACACGAAAGUGUGACGGGGCUAUCCCGAGUGCCGUCCGCUGAGGAUGGCUUUUCCACGCUGUAAGGAGGCGUGGGAAUAAGGAGAGGGCAAGACUGGUGUCAGCCGCCGCGGUAAUACCAGCUCUCCGAGUGGUGGGGACGCUUAUUGGGCCUAAAGCAUUCGUAGCCGGUUCGGCAAGUCCUCCGUUAAAUCCAGCGAUUCAAUCGUUGGACUGCGGGGGAUACUGCUGGGCUAGGGGGCGGGAGAGGCCGACGGUAUCCUCGGGGUAGGGGUGAAAUCCUAUAAUCCCGGGUAGACCACCAGUGGCGAAGGCUGUCGGCUAGAACGCGCCCGACGGUGAGGGAUGAAAGCUGGGGGAGCGAACCGGAUUAGAUACCCGGGUAGUCCCAGCCGUAAACGAUGCAGGCUAGGUGUCGGGGCGGCUACGAGCCGCUUCGGUGCCGCAGGGAAACCGUUAAGCCUGCCGCCUGGGGAGUACGGCCGCAAGGCUGAAACUUAAAGGA